UGGGUGAUAUUGCACAAUGGGCGAAAGCCUGAUGCAGCGACGCCGCGUGGGGGAUGAAGGCCUUCGGGUUGUAAACUUCUUUUGCUCUGAACAAGGCAUGCUAAUGGGUGUGUUGAGUGUAGGGGUUGAUUAGCGCCGGCUAACUACGUGCCAGCAGCCGCGGUAAUACGUAGGGCGCGAGCGUUGUCCGGAAUUAUUGGGCGUAAAGGGCUUGUAGGUGGCUGGUUGCGUCUGUCGUGAAAGCUCAUGGCUUAACUGUGGGUUUGCGGUGGGUACGGGCUGGCUUGAGUGCAGUAGGGGAGGCUGGAAUUCCUGGUGUAGCGGUGGAAUGCGCAGAUAUCAGGAGGAAUACCGGUGGCGAAGGCGGGUCUCUGGGCUGUUACUGACACUGAGGAGCGAAAGCAUGGGGAGCGAACAGG
rnacentral:rRNA from 1 species